GGUCUGCAUUGGAAAGGAGCUUUUGGAUGAAAAUCAACUACAGCGUCAGCUCGCCAUUGCAAAUUCUAUACAAAUCUAAUUUGUCUAAGGAUUUGCUAUCAAAGUUUUCAAGAAUUUGAAAGGAACUUUGAGAAAGUGACCGGCAUGUUUGCUGUUUCUAGUCUUCAUUAUCCACUGUGAAUUUUGUAAGGUAACUGUUAACACUUCUAAAAAAAAAAAAAAAACAUUUCAAUAAUACAGCUUAAUAUACAUGCUGGAGCAUCUUCUAAUAUACAAAGGAGCAUCUUCUGGGAUUUGAAGAACCAGCCACUAAAGCAUCCCUCCUGUGUAGCAGUUGCAAAUAUUUGUAGCCUUCUUAAUGUUCUUAACACGCAUGUGCAAACUUGGAUUUCACAUUACACACAACAUUUCUAACGUACUCAUAGUUACAGUGUUUUCUAUGUACAACCUUUUAUCUAUAAUGUUGCAUAAUAAGAGUUUCUGUCAGGUAAGGUAUAAUUUUUUCUGAUUCUGUGGUUUUGGUUCUACAACAGAUUUUCAAAUAAAAUAUACAGAAUUCUCAUCUAUAAAAUACAGAGAGGUGCAGAAAUAAAAAACAACUUGCAAAAGUAGAUUUAAA